AUGGAUUGGUUUCAAGAAAGCAAAGCUAAGGAUGUGCCAAACAAGGAUGUGAUAAGGCACAAAACAAUUAUGGAGUACAAAGAAACGGGCUGGCGUUCUGAGGAGAUAAAGAAACUAUAUGCUGACUGGAUGCAUCCAAGUUGGGACAAUUACCCGGGCGAAGCUGUGCUGGUGAAAGCAUGCACCCUUGCUCACACAAUGCUCAAGAUGGAGUUGGAGCUCAUAGAUAAGAUGGCGAUAAUUGAAACAGUGUGGAAGGAGACGUUGUGCUACGCAGCAAGCAAUGCAACUGGGGAUUUCCAUGCCAGGCAGCUGAGCAAUGGCGGCGAGUUUCUGACCCACAUCCUGCUCCUCAAUCAAUAUGCCGCUGCCAUGCACAAGAUAGCAAAGCCGGUGGAAGUAGAUGAUGGGAGUGUUGGGGCUAGUGCUGCUAGGGAUGCCGAGCUGGAUGUGGAGAAUGGCUGGAAGGAUGAGAUCACCGAAAGCUGCUGA
rnacentral:rRNA from 1 species